UACCUGUCGUCGUUCUGGAAGGACGGGUCGCCCAGCAGCAGGUCCCGGAAGCGGUAGCGCGGCGGCAAGGGCAGCACCUCGGAGUCCAGGAAGAGUGUGAAGAUGUAACCAGACAGCAUGCCUGAGGCACGCGGAACAGGGCCUGCACGUGAGUGCUUCAGCUACAGCAGGUGUAGCAUGGCCAGCAGUUUGGCUGAGCUCUCAUGGACAAAGGCUAUGACCCAGGAUGGCCGGCGCCCAGCGUGCCCCCUCCGCUCAGCUGAGGCCCAUCAGAGACCUCAGGCUUGGGACACUGACUUUUGGAAUCCAUCUGGAGAGGCCAAGAAUGAGCGAGGCAGUCCACACCUGGGCACGGCAACAGGAAGUCCCCGUCAGCUGUUUGGUGCACACGUAGUCACGUGCAAUGACCCUGACAACCCCGUCAGAGGGGAGCCCGGCAGCUGUGCUCAGUGCCGGCUGCCAUGGACUGAGAGCCAGCUGCACGCCAGGCACCCUGGCAAGCCAGGUGGUGGCAUGGAAUCCUGAUAACAGUUCUCAGAAGCCAGUCUCCAUCCCUAGUUCCUGGCAAGGACAAGUGGCUCCCAUAGCCCAAGGAGCGUCACUGAGGUCCCGGCAGAGGCACUGGGGUGGGGACCAGGUCCAGGUUCACCUCGGGCUGUGCUGCCUUUGGCCAGCUGGGGGGCUCUUCUGAUAGCCGGGAGUGCCUGCUUCUCACUCCCCCUGCAUCUGUUCCCGGUGGCCACGGAGCCAGGGCUGUCUGACACAGUGCUUAAAGACAAGCUUCUCCCGCCAAAGGCUCUGGGCAUUCCCGUUCCAGUUGGGAAUGUGAGGCUGCCCUUGCCAUCAUAAAGGAGGCCUCAUCUGUGCACUGCUGUGAGAAAAAGGAUAAAAGCAAGGAGUCAUGAAGGGGGCUCUGUUUGGAGUUGGCAUGAUUGCUUACUGGAAAACCCAAGAGGAAUCAACUGAGAACCUACUAGAGCAAAUACGGAACCUAGUACGGUGGCCAACCCAGGAGCACCACGGAGAGCAGGAGCAGAGAGCCACCGGGAGAAAGCCCUGCUCACAGCAGGCGCGGGAGCUCUGAACCCAGGCUCCACCCUGCCCCAAACCCACAGGGGCGCACGGCGUUCCCGAGAGAUGGACUGAAAGCUGUCGCUGGCGGAAGACGGAGGUCUUCUUCCUGAGGGUCUAACAGUCCCUUCUCCAAACACGGGUAAAGGGAAUCGCCGCCAAUCAAGAGCGCAUCACUAUUUUCUCAGAAUUUGAUGAACUGUCUCAAAAAUUAAUCCUGAAGACUAUAGAUGCAAGAACAGCCACAGCAGUUGUGAAAAGGAACAGAGAGGGCCCUCGUCUUCUGCUGCCAGCACCAAUGUCCAGCCACAGCAGCUGACACUCUGCGGUCUGGCCCAAGAAAAGACAGAGAGUGGGGAGACACAGCAGAGUGCCUUGACCAGCUGAAGCCCACGUUGGAAUCCAGGCUUGAGAAAGGAGGCGGGGGGCACUCCUCGGUCCUAUGGUAUUGGGACGAGUGCAGCUCCACCUGUCCUGACUCAAGUCACGGUUGCAAAUAUCAGGAGGGGCGACAUCCUUCCCAUUGUGUUGAUGGAGAAAUGGAGGCCGGAGAACUUCAGAAACGCACUUGACCUUGUUCCUUAUUUGUCCUUGUUUAUCACUUGUCCCCUUGCCUUGGGAGGGCCGGUGCUUGAACCCAGUACCUGGCUCCAGCCUAUGCUAUGCAACGUGUCUUCUGUUGGAUAAAAUAAGAUUAGACCCCAUGCUGCAGCCCCAAACCAAGGACAAGAUGGGAAGAAAAUACAGGGAAAAGUGUUCAGAGCCGAGAAGGCCUUUUAUUUAAUACACAAAACCCAAAAAUCAUCUAUUCCAAGAGGAAUAGAUUUAUAAAAGCUUCUACAUCUGAACAAAACACUGCUGUUUAUCAAAAGACAUCACUGGCAAAAGGAAAGAAUAAGCGACCAACAGGAAGAAGAUAUUUGCAACAGAAUAAUCAUCAGAACACAGCCUGGUGCCUACAGGUCCCGUGGAAAGGAAAACAAUCUAGCAGAAAACAUGGCCGGGCGCGGCGGCUCACGCCUGUCACCCCAGCACUCUGGGAGGCUGAGGCGGGUGGAUCACCUGAGGUCAGGAGUUUGAGACCAGCCUGGCCAACAUGGUGAAACCCCAUCUCUACUAAAAAUACAAAAAUUAGCUGGUUGUGGUGGCACACACCUAUAAUCCCAGCUACUCGGGAGGCUGAGGCAGGAGAAUUGUUGGAACCCAGCAGGUGGAGGUUGCAGUGAGCUGAGAUCGCACCACUGCACUCCAGCCUGGGUGACAGAGCGAGACUCCGUCUCAAAAAAGAAAACGACUCAAAGGAUGGAUGAGUGAGGUUCAAGAGGAACGGAAAACAAUGCACAAGUAAAGACAAGCCACCUAGCUAAUAAUUAGAGAGAUGCAGAGUUGGACGGUCUCCUGCGCCAGUGAUCGGCUGUGGUUACAGAACGGGGGGUUCUGCAAGCCAGGGCUCUCGUGUAGUGUCCAGCCGACUGGGAGCAGUGGAUUAAUUAUGAUGGAAUCCUGGGUCCUCUCCAACUUGGAACCUCUACCUGGGGACAUUUUUGAUCUGUGUCCGAGGAGGCCCAGGCAUGGAUUUUCAUCACGGCCUCACGUAUGAAGGUGAACACUGCAAACAGCCUGCACGUCCCUGAAUUGAGGAGCGACUGACAGCUACAGCCAAGACUGCUCUGUGAAGGCACAGGUCUCUGUGAGCCUGCGUGAGCCCGCGUGGAUGCAUCACUACACAAACAGAAUGACAUAUAAUGAACCCCAUUUAAAAACUAAACAUGACCUCUUUCCACAGAACCCUAAAGAAGAGGUGGGUUUCUCUGGGCACCCAGCUUGUAGGUGAUAUAGAGACUGUCCCCACACACUGGCAGCCACAGUGCCGGGGGCAGGGUGGGGUUCUAGGGCAGCGUCUCACCCAUUGUGCUUUGCAAAGUGAAUACAUCAUGCACGACGUGUUAUGGCAAACGGAACAGCUAAGGGCUAAAGAUGUCCUUCCCUAAACUCCAGCAUCAUCAGGCCCUUAUUUCUGCCCUGGGUGGGGCUCAGAAAGAAGCAAGGAGCCUGCCUCUCAGGAUCAGCAUACGAAGUCCUGGAUAAAAUGUCCUUUCCCGCAAAGACUUCUCUUAACAUUGCUUGUGGUCCAGCAUGGUGCCUCACGCCUGUAAUUCCAGCACUCUGGGAGCCCGAGGAGCUGGGCGAGCCAUGUUUGACAGAGAAGUUAGGGAGGAGGAAGAUGAGCACAUGCAAUUCCACUUUUAAGAAUCCAUCUCGGGAAGUCACCGGACAAAUGCUUAGCUCUGACGUGUCAACACAGGCUGGUGCGUGACAAGGCAAAGACAAACUGGCCGGUGUGCGAGCUCCCGACGCCAACACAACUUUGUAAACACCGAGUAUGUGCUGUCAGCGUGGGCUCAACACAACCUCGUAAGGUCCAUGCUAGCACUCCCAUUCUACAGAUGAGGAAACUGAGGCCCAGAGAGGUGAAGUGACUCGCCAGAGCUGACACAGCUACUGCAUCUCAGUGCUGGGAUGGACCAACCUCACAGACACAGUUCCCAGAAGCUCCUCCAGGCCCUCUGCUCCUCCCGGGGCGCCCGCCUUGUGCCAGUCCAGACCCUGGUCCUGCAAUGCCCUCCAUCUCCUGAUGCCCCCACCUCUGCUCCAGUGAGGCCACCCUCCUCUCCCACCUCCCCACCUUCCGCCCCCGAUCUAGAGAGCAGCUGGAGGUCCCCUCUCAAGGAGGGCCUUCCCAGGGACCUACCCCAGGAAGCUCGCGGCCUCUGCCCUGCCACUGUCCCCUGCAAACCUGUUACACUUGCCAGCUGCUAGUACUGGUCUCACCUCCCUGGGCCAAUCGCAUCCUGGCCUCAGUUGCAGCCCCGCUGGCUCACUUCCAAGUUCCACAGGUGGAAGUGGGUCUGGGUGAACAUGGGUGGCCUUAUCCACACACACAGCUGGGAGAGGUCCCAAGACACCUUUGAAAGAUGCCCAUUUAACCGGGCCUUGGCACCCAGCUACCUAGCACGGGCACGCUGAGCCCAGCCUGCCUUUCCCCAGACUCAUGACCGGUGACUUCAAGGUCACACAAGCUGGCUGGCGGGCCCCACACAUCCUCCUCCAGCUCUCACACACGUGCCCACGGUGCGCCUGCCUGGCUCACGGAGCGCCCAGGUUCACAGGCACACACAGCACUUGUUUUUGGGUACACGAUACCCGUUCAGCAUCCCUCACCCAUGCAGGGCUGGGACACACUUGGACAAACUUUCCUGUUGCAGAGAAACCUGGGAUUGUUUGUGGGAGACACAGAAGUGCCACCCUUUCCAGGGCUGAUGGCACCUGGGUCAAAGCCUGCAAGUUUGCAUCCCGGGGAAGCAGGACAAAAAGCCUCAGGGGAGAGCCCGAGACGCCCCCCAACACCCUCCGCCAGGGCAUGAGAUGGCCCCACAGCAAGGCCCCGCUACUGCCACACCAGGCUCGUCCCAAGUAAUAUUCUGUGUUAAUCAAGAGCUCCCCAUACGGUGGGUGAACCAGACCAGCACACUUGGAGGCUGCCGGGUGCAAGGACACAGGCCACACCCAGGCCAGCCACUGGAACAGAAGCAGAGGCCCUCAUGGGGACCCCAUCUGCUCCCUUCUCACUCACCUCUGUCCUCCUGAGCUGCUACUGUGGCCACUCCUGGGCCACAGCAGACCCCUGAGUUCCCCGUGGCCCGAGCCGUCCCUCCUGCCGGCCAGUGCUGGGCGGUACCUUGGGCCCUCAAACCUUUCCCAUGAGCCCUGAGCUACUUCCUGCUGCUGAAGGCACUGCUCCCUAAUAUGGGCCUGGAGGGCUGGCCAGGACCUUGGGCCAGGCAUGUACCCUGGCAGGAUGCCAGGGCCUGAUCCCAUCAGGGCCUAGAGGGUCCCAGGCCCUCCCUGGAGCACAGCUGCUGGGAAGUGGUAUUUCCAGGAAAGGCCUGGCAGGGGCUCUGAUGCGAAGUGCGCUGGGCAGGGGGUGGGCACUUGCCAGCUCUGGGGCCACCAGGGCCACUGGUCCCUCCCUGUCCUACAAUAGCUGUCAUCUCCAGGGCCUGUGGGGAGGCAGCUGAGGGCCUGGGACUCCAUGGCAUGGGGGUGGGAGCAGGAAGCCUGGAGGCCAGAGGCCCGUGAAGACCCCUGCAAACUGGAAGGCCAGGAGCUCCUCUCUGGAGCCCCACUUUCCGGCCUGGUGGCCUUGGGGCUGACUCAGGGACACCACUAGCAUGGAGCUGGGGGUUUGAGCUGGGGCACUGGAGUGGGGUGGGGUGUCCAAGCACCUCCUGCCCCCUCUGAACCACAGCACCAAGGCUGGCAUCCUCCAGCACCCAGGAAAGACAGAGGCCUGCUCAAGGCCUGGCACCAAGGCCUAUGGACUCCAGGGCCUGGGUUCUGACCACGCUGUUGCCUGGCACCCUCCUCCCCAUGUGAAAGCUGGUGCGGAAACCUGCCCCGCAGAGCUCCCCCCACCACCAGGCAGCAUGAAGGUUCUUCUUUCUGCAGCUGAAGCCACCUGCCUGGGCCGCAAGCCUUGGCCUCACCUGGAGCUCAGCUCCCCGCUCCUGAGCCCAGCCAAGCCCAGGUCCUGCUCCCUCCCCGAGCCUGACGCCUGACAUCCCUCCUGUGCUGGCAGCUGCUCUGCCUGCAGUGUGACAGGGAAUCUCUGUUGCAACGGAGGCCAGCUCAGUCCAGCGGGGAGGAGGAGCUGUCCUGGGCCGGUGGGCAGGGCCAAUUGGGAGAGACAGGUGUCUGGAAGGACCCGGAGGAUGAGGCCUGGAGCUAAAGGCUGGACCCUGAGGACACAGUCCUGCCGGCUCGUCUGGAGCAGGCAUCCCCCGGAUAGCCCUUCAGAGCACGUCCAGGCUGUGCCCACUUCCCAAGGACAUCACCAAGUCACUGUCCACCCUCAGAGUACCUGCUCCUCACCCACACUGUACCCUGGACUCCCCCGGGUGCCAGGUGGGUGCUGUGCCUGCCUCCUGAUUCUGGGAACCUCCUCUCCAGCCUGGUCCCUCACCAGAGGCAGCCCUUAAAGACCAUCCGCCCUACCUCCUCAUUUUACACUCGGGGAAACUGAGUCCCAUAGAACAAACAGGCAGCCGCACCAGGCCUCCCGCUCUCAGGGAUAGGCCAGCGGGGAACGAGGAGUGACCAGAACCCAGGACUCCCGCCCUCAUCUGACAGCCACUUAGCCCACUUCCCACUGGGGACUCUUCCUUGGAAGGUUGCUCUGGAAACCCCCUACUGUGUGGGGUAACCUCGCCGGGCACCCCACCCUGGCCGAGCACUGCCAUGCCACACAAGAAGGAUGGAACCUUCCUCCCCAAGCUGGGGUGGGGCAGGGGCUGGGGGAGAUGGAAGGCCCUGCACCGCCCCCAGCCUCCCUGCCACUCCCCCCACCUGGGAGAUGCUCAGGACCCCCAUGUAGCCACGGCCGCUCCCCCCAGCUUCUUACCAGGUCGAGGACAGAUGGGGACGGACGCUGCUGCCUGGGCACCUGCUGAUUAGUGCGGCCCACCCUGAGGGGCGCCCCUGUUCCCCAAGGUGGUUGGGAGGGCACUCGCGGGUCCUGGGGAAGUUGGAUGGCCCUGGGAAUGGCGGGUCCUGGAGCGUGCGGGAGCCUGAGGGGGAACUCGGGGGUCUUAGGUUAGACCGGGGCCUCCCCGCGUGGGGAGGGCGCAGCAGACUGUACCUGGGGGCGCAUUGGCCGUCGUCAAACUCGAAGGUCCGGUUGGUGUAGCCCCCGCCGCGCGCCUCCCGGUAGACGCCCCCUGGGGUACGCGCCCCGUCGGGGAGUGGCAUGCGGCCUGGCAGCUCGGACCCGACCCGAGGGAGAAGCGAGUGGGAGCUGCCACCUUCUUCCCUCGCGUUGCCCUGAAAAACAUUUUUUUUUUCCUCGCAGAUUAGCGAGGAAAAAACGCCAGUUUCAGGGUCGGGUGCAGGCGGCUGUCCGCGCGCGCCCCCUGCCGGCCGCGCCGGGACCCGCGGCGGCUCUGGCCCAGGCUGGGACGGGGGUGGGGGGGUAGGGAGGGCGAGGGUCCAGGGAUCCGCUCCCGCCGCGGCCCUCUGAGCCCUCAAAACUCCGAAAAACAGGACGGGGUUCGUCAAUGGCUAGAAAAGCCCAAGCGCGCCGCCACCGGGCCCUACACCCCUGGGAGGGCUCCGUGGUGGGCGGGGGCUCAGGGGGCUCUGGGUCCUUUGCGGGCAGCAGGGCACAUGCGCUGCUCGGACCGCCAGCGUCCAGCCGCUGCGCCCAGGGACCGUCAGCACCUCCCCCUUGUGCUGCUCUGCCGUGGUCAACACUGGUCAUUCAACACAAGCCAGAUUCAAGACGACUCCCCGCCCCCCCCGCCCCCACACCCCCCGCAGGCUGCGGCAUCUGUGGGUGGGCGCCACAUCCUGGGCUUGGCCCGGGGGAGGGGGAUGCCUGCACCCCGCCCUGUGCUCUCACCCAGACGGGCACACACAGCACCUUUAGACGGGUGGGGAGGGGCCCCAACUUAAGAUGCUGCAGGCCAAAGACUAGGAAGCAGAGGGUCCCCCUGCGGGCCCCCUUUCCCAUGCACGUGCUCACACUGUUACACAUGCGUCACCCUGGCUCAGCCUCACACAGAGCUCUGGAGAACUGCGAUUUCUGUCCCCAGAGCUUUGUUGGUUUGCAGGGCGGACCAGGCCCCUCACUAAGCCAGGACUGUGUCCACGAGGGGCAGGGGGAGGGCCAGGUCCAUUUGGAGGGCGCAUGGCAUAUACUUUGUGGUCCCUGGCCUCCCCAGUGUCUCUCCAGAGGGUCCUUCCCUGUUUCUCCAGGAGGCAGCAGGCUGAACACAGAUGCUUUUGGGGGGUGGGUGGGGAACACUCGGGGAAGUCUAGGAUGCUAAGUCCCCAGCAGAGGUUCAGCCUGUGCCCCCGCCACACAGCUCGUGGGCAUCUUGGGGGUUUUUCCUCAGGUCCCUAGAGAGGCCGGUGCUGCUGCCGGGGUCCCCCCACCCCUGGGCGGGUGCCGCCGGGGCAAGAUGGUGGCCUUUCUGCCAACGCCCUCCUGCCUGGGGAACUCAGAAAAAACUGAGAGGCCGCACCAUCUGCAUCUGUGAUUAAUUAGCAGUAAUUACACGUGUUGUCAACGGCAGGAGAGUCGCAGGUCUGAUGACAUUCCGAGGGCUUUAGGGAAACAAAAACUUGGCACCACUCUGCCACUGAGGAGCCCCAGAUCGCCAGCCCGUCCAUCCCUCCCUGGCCAGGGGCAGGGCCGGGAGAGGGGCCCAGGUCCCCGAGAGCUUUUGCCCUCCUCUCCAACCCGGUCCUCCUCCAUGUCUGACCUGCAGCCAAGGCUGGGCGGAGCGGGGAUGGAGACACCACCUUAUAUUACAUAACCUCCCUCUGCUCCAAACACCUUUCACCCAUCUUUGGCCCAAAGUCCAGGAUGCCAGCCCAAGGCCCAGAGCCGCGCCUUCUCCACAGGAGACUGGGGCACCCCGGACAGACGCCCCCAUGUGGUGGCACCUGCCCGGGCUCCUUCUUGCCUCCCCUCUCGGGAGGAGAGCCCCUGCCACCCACCCCACCUCCUCCAGCUACGGACCUCAGCACGAGCCAGGCCAGGGCUGUCCUCCCAACAGUCCAGCCUCACCCCCCACCCUCGUCCCCUCUGCUUCCCUGAGGGCCCCCCGCAACCUCCGUGAAAGAGGAAGGGUCUCCACCUCCCCCUUCCCUCCGUCAUCCCCCCAAAAGUAUGUACCGGGGGACUCAAGCCCAGCGCAGGGCGGCUCCUGGAGUUCAGCGGGGAGGUGAGCAAACACCUGGCGCCGGAGCUUUCUGAAUUUGGAUGGGCAGGACCCCCGCGACCCCGCAGAAACCUGCUGGGAGUGUGAGGGGUCGAGCUGGGGCCCCAGGGCAUAAAGCGGGGACGGUGCUUGGGCAGGGCCAGGUGAAGGGAUAGACGGUUCCGAGGGUGUCCGGCAGAGCUCAGCGGGAGGAAGAGCGCGGACGAUGGUGGCCUGGGGUGGGGACAGGAUGCCCCUGGUUCUGGGCGACCCAGAAGUGUGGAUGGUGACCCUACCCUGAGGCGCAGCAUCUGCAAGCGUACUAGAUUUGGGGGAAAAUGGAGGCGUAGGCGACUGGGGAGCAGGCGGGUACCCUUCCCCCUCCCUGUGUCCCUGGGUCCCCCAGGCCUG